ACAACGCAGCUCCGCCCUCGCAAAGGCACAGCGCGGGCGCAGGCGCCCAGAGGCGCACAGGAGACCUCAGGCCCAGACUCCACUCCCCAGCUGUGAAAGGACUGCUGGCCAGACCCCCAAGCUAGCCCGCCAGGCCUCCAUAGAGCUGCCCAGCAUGGCUGCAUCCAGUACCAAGAGUUGGUGGGAGACGGGUGAGGUACAGGCUCAGUCUGCGGCCAAGACUCCGUCCUGCAAGACUCUUUGGCAGUUGCACUGGGUACUGGCUGAGUUCUGGAAAACAGGAAUGUGAGCAGAGUGCUGCAGAUCUCCUUGUCAGGAGCACCUAAGAACUGGCAUGACUCUACACCCUCUCUCCUUCUGCAAUGACCUCGUGUCAAGAUGGCAGACCCGCAGAGAUGAAUGUGCCUGGAUACCUGAGUCACCAGGUGGAGGAAACUCCCAUUGACAUGCAUCACACUCCACAUAUGAAACCCUUCUUUUUCUGCACUGUCACUGGGGUUAGGGAUUAUUACUCACUGCAACUUAGCCUAGCAUUAAGUUGCUUGACUAAUACAAGUUUCAAUAAAUGUCGCUUCAUUUCCCAUGG
rnacentral:lncRNA from 10 species